rnacentral:rRNA from 1 species
UACGUAGGUGGCGAGCGUUAUCCGGAAUGAUUGGGCGUAAAGGGUGCGUAGGCGGCCUGCUAAGUCUGGAGUGAAAGGUACCGGCUCAACCGGUACAGGCUCUGGAAACUGGUUGACUUGAGUGCAGAAGAGGGAAGUGGAAUUCCAUGUGUAGCGGUGAAAUGCGUAGAGAUAUGGAGGAACACCAGUGGCGAAGGCGGCUUCCUGGUCUGCAACUGACACUGAGGCGCGAAAGCGUGGGGAGCAAACAGG